rnacentral:lncRNA from 1 species
CUUUUUUUAAAAAUUAAUUUCAUUAUCGCUUAAUUUUUCUCCAGGGAACUAAAGCUGUUGUCUAUGCACUAGGUACAUACAGGUACAGUAUGCUUUGCUGGGAUGGUAAUAGAGGGAAAGAGUUUUGUCUGUUUACCAACUUCAGAACUUCUCAGAACUUAUCUUUAGACGUGUGCGGCCAUUUUACUAGGAACC